rnacentral:misc_RNA from 1 species
AGCCUAGAUUGGUUUGGUUUAAUAACUAAAGCCAUGUGCCCCCCAAUUCCCCUACUAAAUAUUAUACCGCAAAUUGCUUCAAAGUUUAUACAUGCAAAAUUCCCUAUUGGCCUCAUAAUCUAAGCAUCAUCUUUUUCUUUUUCUUUUUUUUUUUUUAACACUUUGGAGGUUUAAAAGUACAAAGAUCAAACUCAAGACAUAUCAGAGAAAGAACCAAAGAUAUUUCAAUUUGGGGUAAAGAAAAUAAUAUGUAUAAA